rnacentral:tRNA from 1 species
GCCUGGGUGGCUCAGUUGGUGGGGCGUCCAACUUCGGCUCAGGUCAUGAUCUUGCAGUCCGUGAGUUCGAGCCCCGCCUCAGGCU